GACGAACGCUGGCGGCGUGCUUAACACAUGCAAGUCGAACGGAAAGGCCUGCUUUCCCUUGUGGAUUGCGGGUACUCGAGUGGCGAACGGGUGAGUAACACGUGAGUUAUCUGCCCCCAACUUGUGUAUAAGCCUGGGAAACUGGGUCUAAUUCCCGAUAGGACUGCAGGGUGGUUCCUGUGGUUGAAAACGAUUUUCUAGUGGUUGGGGAUGAGCUCGCGGCCUAUCAGCUUGUUGGUGGGGUAAUGGACUACCAAUGCGGCGACGGGUAGCCGGCCUGGGGGGGUGGACGGCCACAUUGGGACUGAGAUACGGCCCCGGCUCCUACGGGAGGAAGCAGUGGGGAAUAUUGAACAAUGGGCGGAAGACUGAGGCAGCGACGCCGAGUGGGGGAUGACGGCCUUCGGGUUGUAAACUCCUUUCGGCCGAGAGGAAGCCACCUGGUUGGAAGGGUGGUGACGGUAGUGGUAGAAGAAGCACCGGCUAACUACGUG
rnacentral:rRNA from 1 species